AUCAUCGCGUUUCUCAUCCACAUUUGCCUUGUUCUUCAAUAACACUUCUACAACCUCUGUAUGUCCCCGAUAGGCUGCUCUAUGUAGAGGUGUGUCCCCAUCAUCGCGUUUCUCAUCCACAUUUGCCUUGUUCUUCAAUAACACUUCUACAACCUCUGUAUGUCCCCGAUAGGCUGCUCUAUGUAGAGGUGUGUGGCCAUCAUCGCGUUUCGCAU